CAUCGCUCCUGAAGCGUUCAGAAGUCAUUUCCUUCUAGGUCCGUGUGGGAGUGUACGAAAUGGGGCCUGGGUGUAGACGGGCGCAGCGGGCACAGGUUCCAGAGAUCUGCCUUUCACACCUCCUACCAUCGUGGUCAUAUGUAAUGCACCGCAAGCAGCGUCGGACAGUGAGGGCACCGUCCACCCUGGCUCUGUACCAGCCUACGUAUACCUGCCCUCUACGUGCCAGCUACCGGAAAACAGGCCCGUUGACCUCCACGAUCCAACCCCG